rnacentral:miRNA from 3 species
AGAGUUGAGUCUGGACGUCCCGA